GGCUUCGGGGAGGUACUGCCAGACUUGGAACCGGGAGAGGUAAGAGGUACUACAGGGGUAGGAGUGAAAUCUUGUAAUCCCGUGUGGGACCACCUGUGGCGAAGGCGUCUACCAGAACGGGUUCGACGGUGAGGGACGAAAGCUGGGGGCACGAACCGGAUUAGAUACCCGGGUAGUCCCAGCCGUAAACGAUGCUCGCUAGGUGUCAGGCAUGGCGCGACCGUGUCUGGUGCCGCAGGGAAGCCGUGAAGCGAGCCACCUGGGAAGUACGGCCGCAAGGCUGAAACUUAAAGGAAUUGGCGGGGGAGCACAACAACGGGUGGAGCCCUGCGGUUUAAUUGGACUCAACGCCGGACAACUCACCGGGGGCGACAGCAAUAUGUAGGCCAAGCUGAAGACUUUGCCUGAAUCGCUGAGAGGUGGUGCAUGG
rnacentral:rRNA from 1 species